rnacentral:rRNA from 1 species
CAAUAGCGUAUAUUAAAGUUGUUGCAGUUAAAAAGCUCGUAGUUGGAUUUCUGAUCGAGACAUCAGGUCGGGUCCGAGAGGAUCAUGUACUUUGAUUUUGUUUUGAUCAUCCUUGGGGAGAGCAUUUCUGGCAUUCAGUUGUCGGGAUUGGGAUCCUCAUCGUUUACUGUGAAAAAAUUAGAGUGUUCAAAGCAGGCCUCGGCCUCUGAAUACAUUAGCAUGGAACAAUAAGAUAGGACUUUGGUGGUCUAUUUUGUUGGUUUGCACGCCAAAGUAAUGAUUAAUAGGGAUAGUUGGGGGUAUUCGUAUUCAAUUGUCAGAGGUGAAAUUCUUGGAUUUAUGGAAGACGAACUACUGCGAAAGCAUUUACCAAGGAUGUUUUCAUUAA